rnacentral:snRNA from 1 species
UAGUGUUAUAGCUCUUUUAGAAUUUGUCUAGCAUGUUUUCUGGUCCUCAUAGGACUAGAAGACACUC